UGCAAGUCGAGCGGUAACAGAUCCAGCUUGCUGGAUGCUGACGAGCGGCGGACGGGUGAGUAAUGCAUAGGAAUCUGCCCGAUAGUGGGGGAUAACCUGGGGAAACCCAGGCUAAUACCGCAUACGUCCUACGGGAGAAAGGGGGCUCCGGCUCCCGCUAUGGGAUGAGCCUAUGUCGGAUUAGCUAGUUGGUGAGGUAACGGCUCACCAAGGCCACGAUCCGUAGCUGGUCUGAGAGGAUGAUCAGCCACAUCGGGACUGAGACACGGCCCGAACUCCUACGGGAGGCAGCAGUGGGGAAUAUUGGACAAUGGGGGAAACCCUGAUCCAGCCAUGCCGCGUGUGUGAAGAAGGCCCUCGGGUUGUAAAGCACUUUCAGCGAGGAAGAACGCCUAGCGGUUAAUACCCGCUAGGAAAGACAUCACUCGCAGAAGAAGCACCGGCUAACUCCGUGCCAGCAGCCGCGGUAAUACGGAGGGUGCAAGCGUUAAUCGGAAUUACUGGGCGUAAAGCGCGCGUAGGUGGCUUGAUAAGCCGGUUGUGAAGCCCCGGGCUCAACCUGGGAACGGCAUCCGGAACUGUCAAGCUAGAGUGCAGGAGAGGAAGGUAGAAUUCCCGGUGUAGCGGUGAAAUGCGUAGAGAUCGGGAGGAAUACCAGUGGCGAAAGCGGCCUUCUGGACUGACACUGACACUGAGUGCGAAAGCGUGGGUAGCAAACAGGAUUAGAUACCCUGGCUAGUCCACGCCGUAUACGAUGUCGACCAGCCGUUGGGUGCCUAGCGCACUUUGUGGCGAAGUUAACGCCGAUAAGUCGACCGCCUGGGGGAGU
rnacentral:rRNA from 1 species